rnacentral:tRNA from 1 species
GUUUUAAUAAUUUAAAUAAAAUAUUGGUCUUGUAAACCAAAAAUAGGAUUAAACCUUUAAAACU